GGGCCCAGGCCAUCGCGGUUAUACCAAAAAAUUGAAUUAUAUCUUUAGGUAAAAAGAUAGUUAGGCAAAAUAGUUAAUUUUAUGAGUUUAUGUUAGAAAGUAAAAUUUGUAAACAUAAAUUAAAUUCCUAAAAAAUUUAGUUUAGCUGAACCUAUGAAGAUCUUGAGGGAAACUGGGAUUAGAUACCCCAUUAUUCUUGAAUGUAAAUUGAUUGUUUAUACCUGGGCACUACGAAUAGAAUUUUAAAUUUAAAACCCAAAGAGCUUGGCGGUGUUUUAGACUUCCUAGGGGAACUUGUCUCAUAAACGAUAGUCCACGGUAAACCUUACCUUCUUUUGUAACACAGUAUGUAUACCGUUGUCGUCAGGUAACUUUUAAGAAUAGAGAAGUUAGCAAAAAAGUUUUUGAUCUUAAACGUCAAAUCUAGGUACAGCCCAUAAGAAGGAGAGGAUGAGUUACAAUUAAUAUUUAUAAUAACGGAGUUUCGUAGGAAAAUACGUUAUGAAGGAGGACUUAGAAGUAAAAAAUUAAAUUUAUAUAAAUUUUUUGAAUUUAGCUCUGAAACGUGCACACAUCGCCCGUCGCUCUCAUUGAAAAAUGAGAUAAGUCGUAACAAGUAGGGGGUAAA
rnacentral:rRNA from 1 species